rnacentral:rRNA from 1 species
CCUACGGGAGAAAGGGGGCUUCGGCUCCCGCUAUUGGAUGAGCCUAUGUCGGAUUAGCUAGUUGGUGAGGUAAAGGCUCACCAAGGCAACGAUCCGUAGCUGGUCUGAGAGGAUGAUCAGCCACAUCGGGACUGAGACACGGCCCGAACUCCUACGGGAGGCAGCAGUGGGGAAUAUUGGACAAUGGGGGCAACCCUGAUCCAGCCAUGCCGCGUGUGUGAAGAAGGCCCUCGGGUUGUAAAGCACUUUCAGCGAGGAAGAACGCCUGGCGGUUAAUACCCGCCAGGAAAGACAUCACUCGCAGAAGAAGCACCGGCUAACUCCGUGCCAGCAGCCGCGGUAAUACGGAGGGUGCAAGCGUUAAUCGGAAUUACUGGGCGUAAAGCGCGCGUAGGUGGCUUGAUAAGCCGGUUGUGAAAGCCCCGGGCUCAACCUGGGAACGGCAUCCGGAACUGUCAAGCUAGAGUGCAGGAGAGGAAGGUAGAAUUCCCGGUGUAGCGGUGAAAUGCGUAGAGAUCGGGAGGAAUACCAGUGGCGAAGGCGGCCUUCUGGACUGACACUGACACUGAGGUGCGAAAGCGUUGGUAGCAAACAGGAUUAGAUACCCUGGUAGUCCACGCCGUAAACGAUGUCGACCAGCCGUUGGGUGCCUAGCGCACUUUGUGGCGAAGUUAACGCGAUAAGUCGACCGCCUGGGGAGUACGGCCGCAAGGUUAAAACUCAAAUGAAUUGACGGGGGCCCGCACAAGCGGUGGAGCAUGUGGUUUAAUUCGAUGCAACGCGAAGAACCUUACCUACCCUUGACAUCCUGCGAACCCGGAAGAGAUUCCGGGGUGCCUUCGGGAACGCAGAGACAGGUGCUGCAUGGCUGUCGUCAGCUCGUGUUGUGAAAUGUUGGGUUAAGUCCCGUAACGAGCGCAACCCUUGUCCUUAUUUGCCAGCGAGUAAUGUCGGGAACUCUAAGGAGACUGCCGGUGACAAACCGGAGGAAGGUGGGGACGACGUCAAGUCAUCAUGGCCCUUACGGGUAGGGCUACACACGUGCUACAAUGGCCGGUACAAAGGGCGGCGAGCUCGCGAGAGUCAGCGAAUCCCUUAAAGCCGGUCUCAGUCCGGAUCGGAGUCUGCGACUCGACUCCGUGAAGUCGGAAUCGCUAGUAAUCGUGAAUCAGAAUGUCACGGUGAAUACGUUCCCGGG